GGGGGUGACUUGCCUUGACAGCGAGAACGAACAUACUACGCAGGCCGAGGUUCCAAGGUCCUCGCAAAAGAACUUGGAAGACAUACAACUGCCAACAUAUUCAGCCCACAAAGGGCUCUUGCUGUAGCUUAAGGCUGCAGCCGUCCUCUUGCGAAUUCUCAUUACGCGAGAAGGGCGUCAUCAAUGAGAUAGGAAGCUUCCCUAAUCCGAGAAGUUUCCAAAACAAAUGGAUCAAAGAGAUGGGGAAUUUCGCCCAAUUUAAUCUCCUUCUCGCUUCUUAAUUGGGACACGCCUGUAGACUAUAAUGUUCUAUCUCUCUGCACGGGACUUCACCGUCCCCACCUCCACAC
rnacentral:tmRNA from 1 species